UGGUAAUUCUGCUUUUGUAAAUAUACGCAGCUAUAACACUACAUAUACAUGUAUAUUACAUAAGACAGUACAUCGGUAUUGGCAUGAAAAAAAAUCGAUGUUGCUUUCAUUAAAGUUUACUGCUAUAAGGUUUUUAGCAAUAAUUUUGAACUAAGGAAUAUUUUUUUUUCUUGCAUAGCUCUUAUUAUUUGUCUGUAUUUGGCUUUUCU
rnacentral:lncRNA from 1 species